rnacentral:rRNA from 1 species
ACGCUGGCGGCGUGCCUAAUACAUGCAAGUUGAGCGCUGAAGGUUGGUACUUGUACCAACUGGAUGAGCAGCGAACGGGUGAGUAACGCGUGGGGAAUCUGCCUUUGAGCGGGGGACAACAUUUGGAAACGAAUGCUAAUACCGCAUAAAAACUUUAAACACAAGUUUUAAGUUUGAAAGAUGCGAUUGCAUCACUCAAAGAUGAUCCCGCGUUGUAUUAGCUAGUUGGUGAGGUAAAGGCUCACCAAGGCGAUGAUACAUAGCCGACCUGAGAGGGUGAUUGGCCACAUUGGGACUGAGACACGGCCCAAACUCCUACGGGAGGCAGCAGUAGGGAAUCUUCGGCAAUGGACGAAAGUCUGACCGAGCAACGCCGCGUGAGUGAAGAAGGUUUUCGGAUCGUAAAACUCUGUUGGUAGAGAAGAACGUUGGUGAGAGUGGAAAGCUCAUCAAGUGACGGUAACUACCCAGAAAGGGACGGCUAACUACGUGCCAGCAGCCGCGGUAAUACGUAGGUCCCGAGCGUUGUCCGGAUUUAUUGGGCGUAAAGCGAGCGCAGGUGGUUUAUUAAGUCUGGUGUAAAAGGCAGUGGCUCAACCAUUGUAUGCAUUGGAAACUGGUAGACUUGAGUGCAGGAGAGGAGAGUGGAAUUCCAUGUGUAGCGGUGAAAUGCGUAGAUAUAUGGAGGAACACCGGUGGCGAAAGCGGCUCUCUGGCCUGUAACUGACACUGAGGCUCGAAAGCGUGGGGAGCAAAC